UUGUUUGUUUAUGCUCAAUUAAGAGACGAUGUCAUUCUUAGACUUUUGUGUGUAAAAUGUGUAAAAACAGUUUGUGCACAGGGUGAAGGAAAAUGAGUUGGUCGGACCUCUAAAAAGAGCGUCCUUGCAUUUCAUUAAUGAUCCUUCCGCAGGUUCACCUACGGAAA
rnacentral:misc_RNA from 1 species